UACGUAGGGUGCGAGCGUUAAUCGGAAUUACUGGGCGUAAAGCGUGCGUAGGCGGUUCGUUAAGUCAGCUGUGAAAGCCCCGGGCUCAACCUGGGAACUGCGGUUGAAACUGGCGAACUAGAAUCUGGCAGAGGGGGGUGGAAUUCCACGUGUAGCAGUGAAAUGCGUAGAGAUGUGGAGGAACACCGAUGGCGAAGGCAGCCCCCUGGGUUAACACUGACGCUCAGGCACAAAAGCGUGGGGAGCAAACAGG
rnacentral:rRNA from 1 species